CCCUAGUUGGCUCAGUGGGUAGAGCGCUCCAAUGGAAAUGGAAAGGUCCCUGCAUCAUUACCAGGACCAGGCA
rnacentral:tRNA from 1 species